AGCGAACGCUGGCGGCAGGCCUAACACAUGCAAGCCGAACGGACCCUUCGGGGUUAGUGGCGGACGGGUGAGUAACACGUGGGAACGUGCCUUUAGGUUCGGAAUAGCUCCUGGAAACGGGUGGUAAUGCCGAAUGUGCCCUUCGGGGGAAAGAUUUAUCGCCUUUAGAGCGGCCCGCGUCUGAUUAGCUUGUUGGUGAG
rnacentral:rRNA from 1 species